rnacentral:rRNA from 1 species
AUUGAACGCUGGCGGCAGGCUUAACACAUGCAAGUCGAACGAGUGGCGGACGGGUGAGUAAUGCUUGGGAAACUGGCUGAUGGAGGGGGAUAACUACUGGAAACUGUCGCUAAUACCGCAUACCAUCGGAUGUGCCCAGAUGGGAUUAGCUAGUAGGUGGGGUAAUGGCCAACCAAGGCGACGAUCCCUAGCUGGUCUGAGAGGAUGACAAGCCACACCGGGACUGAGACACGGCCCGGACUCCUACGGGAGGCAGCAGUGGGGAAUAUUGCACAAUGGGCGCAAGCCUGAGGCAGCCAUGCCGCGUGUAUGAAGAAGGCCUUCGGGUUGUAAAGUUCUUUCGGCGAGGAGGCGUUACUCACAGAAGAAGCACCGGCUAACUCCGUGCCAGCAGCCGCGGUAAUAC